rnacentral:rRNA from 1 species
UACGUAGGGGGCAAGCGUUGUCCGGAUUUAUUGGGCGUAAAGAGCGUGUAGGCGGCCAGAUAGGUCCGUUGUGAAAACUCGAGGCUCAACCUCGAGACGCCGAUGGAAACCAUCUGACUAGAGUCCGGAAGAGGAGAGUGGAAUUCCCGGUGUAGCGGUGAAAUGCGCAGAUAUCGGGAAGAACACCCGUGGCUAAGGCGGCUCUCUAGUACGGUACUGACGCUGAGACGCGAAAGCGUGGGGAGCGAACAGG